GGCAUUCGAGGGACGCUGUCCCUCACCUCCCUGUUGGACUCGGCCGGACCUCGCGUCCGGCCUUUUUU
rnacentral:ncRNA from 1 species